rnacentral:rRNA from 1 species
AUUGAACGCUGGCGGCAUGCCUUACACAUGCAAGUCGAACGGUAACGGGCCUUCGGGUGCCGACGAGUGGCGAACGGGUGAGUAAUGCAUCGGAACGUACCUUUCAGUGGGGGAUAACGUAGCGAAAGUUACGCUAAUACCGCAUAUUCUGUGAGCAGGAAAGCAGGGGAUCGCAAGACCUUGCGCUGAUUGAGCGGCCGAUGUCAGAUUAGCUAGUUGGUGAGGUAAAGGCUCACCAAGGCGACGAUCUGUAGCGGGACUGAGAGGAUGAUCGGCCACACUGGGACUGAGACACGGCCCAGAAUCCUACGGGAGGCAGCAGUGGGGAAUUUUGGACAAUGGGGGCAACCCUGAUCCAGCCAUGCCGCGUGAGUGAAGAAGGCCUUCGGGUUGUAAAGCUCUUUCGGCCGGGAAGAAAUCGCACAGGCUAAUACCUUGUGUGGAUGACGGUACCGGAAUAAGAAGCACCGGCUAACUACGUGCCAGCCGCCGCCGUAACAC